CCCUUAGAUGUCCGGGGCUGCACGCGCGCCACACUGAGUGGAUCAGCGUGUGUCUACCCUUCGCCGAGAGGCGUGGGUAACCCGCUGAACCCCACUCGUGAUAGGGAUUGGGGAUUGCAAUUAUUUCCCAUGAACGAGGAAUUCCCAGUAAGCGCGGGUCAUAAGCUCGCGUUGAUUAAGUCCCUGCCCUUUGUACACACCGCCCGUCGCUACUACCGAUUGGAUGGUUUAGUGAGGUCCUCGGAUCGGCCCCGCCGGGGUCGGUCACGGCCCUGGCGGAGCGCCGAGAAGACGAUCAAACUUGACUAUCUAGAGGAAGUAAAANUCGUAACA
rnacentral:rRNA from 1 species